rnacentral:rRNA from 1 species
GGGGAUAAGCCAUGCGAGUCAACAUAGCAAUAUGUGGCAUACGGCUCAGUAACACGUAGUCAACACGCCCAGGGGACGUGGAUAACCUCGGGAAACUGAGGAUAAACCGCGAUAGGUCAUCACUUCUGGAAUGGGUAAUGACUUAAACCUAUAUGGCCCCUGGAUUGGACUGCGGCCGAUCAGGCUGUUGGUGAGGUAAUGGCCCACCAAACCUGUAACCGGUACGGGCUCUGAGAGGAGGAGCCCGGAGAUGGGCACUGAGACAAGGGCCCAGGCCCUAUGGGGCGCAGCAGGCGCGAAACCUCUGCAAUAGGCGAAAGCUUGACAGGGUUACUCUGAGUGAUUUCCGUUAAGGAGAUCUUUUGGCACCUCUAAAAAUGGUGCAGAAUAAGGGGUGGGCAAGUCUGGUGUCAGCCGCCGCGGUAAUACCGGCACCCCGAGUGGUCGGGACGUUUAUUGGGCCUAAAGCAUCCGUAGCCGGUUCUACAAGUCUUCCGUUAAAUCCACCUGCUUAACAGAUGGGCCGCGGAAGAUACUAUAGAGCUAGGAGGCGGGAGAGGCAAGCGGUACUCGAUGGGUAGGGGUAAAAUCCGUUGAUCCAUUGAAGACCACCAGUGGCGAAGGCGGCUUGCCAGAACGCGCUCGACGGUGAGGGAUGAAAGCUGGGGGAGCAAACCGGAUUAGAUACCCGGGUAGUCCCAGCUGUAAACGAUGCAGACUCGGUGAUGAGUUGGCUUAUUGCUAACUCAGUGCCGCAGGGAAGCCGUUAAGUUUGCCGCCUGGGGAGUACGGUCGCAAGACUGAAACUUAAAGGAAUUGGCGGGGGAGCACCACAAGGGGUGAAGCCUGCGGUUCAAUUGGAGUCAACGCCGGAAAUCUUACCGGGGGCGACAGCAGAGUGAAAGGUCAAGCUGAAGACUUUACCAGACAAGCUGAGAG